rnacentral:rRNA from 1 species
UACAGAGGUCUCAAGCGUUGUUCGGAUUCAUUGGGCGUAAAGGGUGCGUAGGCGGCGCGGUAAGUCGGGUGUGAAAUCCCGCAGCUUAACUGCGGAACGGCAUGGGAUACUAUUCGGCUCGAGGAUUGGAGGGGGGACUGGAAUUCCCGGUGUAGCAGUGAAAUGCGUGGAUAUCGAGAAGAACACUUAGGGCGUAGGCAAGACUCUGGACAAAUGCUGACGCUCAUGCACGAAGGCUAGGGUAGCGAACGGA